rnacentral:rRNA from 1 species
GGGGGGGGGGGGGGGGGGGGGGGGGGGGGGCGGGGCGGGGGGGGGGGGGGGGGCGGGGGGACGCGAGGGGCGAAGGGGUGAGUAACACGUGAGUAACCUGCGCUCAUCUCUGGGAUGACAGUCGGAAACGGUGGCUAAUACUGGAUAUGCGCUUGCAAGGCAGCGUGUGGGUUGGAGAGAUUUUUUUUGGUUGGGGAUGGACUCGCGGCCUAUCAGCUUGUUGGUGAGGUAGUGGCUCACCAAGGCUUCGACGGGUAGCCGGCCUGAGAGGGCGACCGGCCACAUUGGGACUGAGAUACGGCCCAAACUCCUACGGGAGGCAGCAGUGGGGAAUAUUGCACAAUGGACGGAAGUCUGAUGCAGCAACGCCGCGUGCGGGAUGACGGCCUUCGGGUUGUAAACCGCUUUCAAUUGUGACGAAGCUUUUUUGUGACGGUAGCAGUAGAAGAAGCACCGGCUAACUACGUG